rnacentral:lncRNA from 10 species
ACUCGCAGUCCGCAGGAUGACUCAGGGCAGCCCUGACCACAGUUCCGCCGCCAUCGGCCCUAGCCUGCGGAAUUGGGCUCGCCCCGGGACGAUAACAGAGCUCUGCCGGGGGCUGGAGGCACUGACCGGGUGACCAGAGACCCAGAGACCAGACCCCCUCCACGGCGCCCGGGAUUUCGGGGACGGCUUCUCCCAUCGCAAGUAGGGCUUGGACGGGAGGCGACAAAAGAGAACUUGGUCCGCACACAGCCACCGAAAUUGGAAUGAGGAGCUGUAGGGAGGCCCCGUAGCCAGCAGAAAAGCAUUGGGGUCCCUGGCUGGGUUAGCCCAGGUUUCUAGGAGUGUGGUAAGCGUCGAAUGACUUUUGUCCUUUUAAAGCACAUUAUGUUACUUUUUCCCCCAAGGUUUCAACAGAAAAUGAGAAAUAUCCCCCGACGAUUGGCUGAAAACAUGCAGCAACCACUAUUUUCUUCCUGCCCCUCGUUGAUGAGAGCAUUCGAAGUGACCUCAGCAGGGCAUCCAGGUCAGUUUCUGGAAGACUUGUGUGUGUGAUGAAUGAAUAUCUGGUUUUGUCUCUGCUGGGCCUGUGUGCCUGGAAAGGAAUUGUUUUGGCCUAGGAUCAUCCAGAUCAAUUAUGCAGCUACAGCCAAAACCAAGUUCUUUUUAUUGCAAUGGUAAUGAAAGGAGCCCCGUGUAAGUCACUGGAAGGUCACAUGUUCACAGACUGUCAGCUGUGGAGGGUUAUGUAACAGUGGUUAUGCAAUGCCACGUUAGAACUACAGCCCGAGCAGCAAAACAUUUAGAUA